rnacentral:lncRNA from 1 species
GAAGUCGUUCCCUCGCAGCCGCGGGUGAAUUUUGGGUCACCCAAAGAAGGGUGCACUGUCUGGCAGCACCUGAGAAUAAUCAUAACCCAAAACCUGGUGGCCCAGUUUCCUGGCCCUAGUCCAGUGGUUCUCAAACUUUAGCGUGUAUCAGAAGCAACCGGAGGGUCCAGCUGAGAGACUGAUGGCCCAACCUCAGAGUUUCCCCCUGGUGACACUUUAACAAGUCCCCCUAGGUGGUGGCAAUGUUGCUGAUCUGGAGAUCACACCUUGAGAACCACUGCCCGGAGCAACAGGAGUGCCUCUAAUACCCGUGUGUGCGCGCGCGCGCGCGUGUGUGUGUGUGUGUGUGUGUGUCCAUAAUCAGAUACUCGCCUGCACACCCAGUCUCACAACUGCAUUUUUUAUAGCCACCUUAAUAAACAGAAGUUUAUGGCGUCUGCAGCAGGCCAGCUUUAAAGUGGCGUGUCCCGCACCUCCACCCCGGCUGGAUCGCCAGGACAGUCAAAGGAAACCGCGAUUGUGGUGGUGGUGGCAGGAACCGAGUGGCAGAGGCGCAGGAUUUCUUCAACCUGCCCACAUCAAUCUGAAAUUACUAGAUACAAGGAUUGCAUCCUGUGUGGCUGUGUUUUGUUGAGGCGAUCAGCUUUUGGGCAUUGGUCAGUAGUCCAAAGUCAAGGAAUUGAUGGAAGAUGGAUUCAGAAACAGUUGCUCAUUUCCUGUAUACACAGUGAAUACAGCUACUUCACACUGGUCUGGGAGAAGCAGAUUGCCCAGGUAGAUCCCAGAAUAUUCUAUAUAUGUUCUAAUUGUUUUCUUUUAAACAAUAGAAUAUUGAACUUUCUUUUGAAUUCCCAAUGAACAUAUCUAUACAUAGUUGUGACUAAGUGUUUGAG